rnacentral:rRNA from 1 species
AUUGAACGCUGGCGGCAGGCUUAACACAUGCAAGUCGAGCGGGGGAAGGUAGCUUGCUACUGGACCUAGCGGCGGACGGGUGAGUAAUGCUUAGGAAUCUGCCUAUUAGUGGGGGACGACAUCUCGAAAGGGAUGCUAAUACCGCAUACGUCCUACGGGAGAAAGCAGGGGAUCUUCGGACCUUGCGCUAAUAGAUGAGCCUAAGUCGGAUUAGCUAGUUGGUGGGUUAAAGGCCUACCAAGGCGACGAUCUGUAGCGGGUCUGAGAGGAUGAUCCGCCACACUGGGACUGAGACACGGCCCAGACUCCUACGGGAGGCAGCAGUGGGGAAUAUUGGACAAUGGGGGGAACCCUGAUCCAGCCAUGCCGCGUGUGUGAAGAAGGCCUUAUGGUUGUAAAGCACUUUAAGCGAGGAGGAGGCUACUCUAGUUAAUACCUAGGGAUAGUGGACGUUACUCGCAGAAUAAGCACCGGCUAACUCUGUGCCAGCCGCCGCCGUAA